rnacentral:rRNA from 1 species
UACGGGGGGAGCAAGCGUUGUUCGGAUUUACUGGGCGUAAAGGGCGCGUAGGCGGCCACCGCAAGUCAGUUGUGAAAUCUCUGGGCUUAACCCAGAAAGGUCAACUGAUACUGCGGGGCUAGAGUGCAGAAGGGGCAACUGGAAUUCUUGGUGUAGCGGUGAAAUGCGUAGAUAUCAAGAGGAACACCUGAGGUGAAGACGGGUUGCUGGGCUGACACUGACGCUGAGGCGCGAAAGCCAGGGGAGCAAACGGG